CUACGGGAGGCUGCAGUGGGGAAUAUUGCACAAUGGGCGCAAGCCUGAUGCAGCCAUGCCGCGUGUAUGAAGAAGGCCUUCGGGUUGUAAAGUACUUUCAGCGGGGAGGAAGGGAGUAAAGUUAAUACCUUUGCCCAUUGACGUUACCCGCAGAAGAAGCACCGGCUAACUCCGUGCCAGCAGCCGCGGUAAUACGGAGGGUGCAAGCGUUAAUCGGAAUUACUGGGCGUAAAGCGCACGCAGGCGGUUUGUUAAGUCAGAUGUGAAAUCCCCGGGCUCAACCUGGGAACUGCAUCUGAUACUGGCAAGCUUGAGUCUCGUAGAGGGGGGUAGAAUGCCAGGUGUAGCGGUGAAAUGCGUAGAGAUCUGGAGGAAUACCGGUGGCGAAGGCGGCCCCCUGGACGAAGGCUGACGCUCAGGUGCGAAAGCGUGGGGAGCAAACAGGAUUAGAUACCCCUGUAGUC
rnacentral:rRNA from 1 species